AUGGAGAUCCCCCGCAGCCUCGGCGCCCAGGACAACGAGGAGGAGGAGGAGUACGACAGCGUCUUCUACGAGGACAUCGAGGCGCCCAAGUUCGUCGACCUCACCGCGCCCGACGCCGCCUGCCCCGCCGACGACCCCUCCUGGUUCUGCCUCCGCGUAGGCUGCGACCAGAGGCACGAGCACGUCGACCCGGAGGCGCUGCACCGGAGCUUCGUCAUGCGGGUCAUGGCGGCGAGGAGCCCCAACGUGAGGCUGCAGAAGGCCAUCAGCAGGAGAAACCAGAGAUCGGAUUUGUUGACCCCGUGCAGCUCGACGCUGCCGAAAUGCCCCCACUCGGCGCCGGCGAAGCCGCCGAGGACCCGGAUGACCAGGCUGAGCCUGGCGACGGGGGCGGCCGAGAAGGCGGCGAGGGCCGGGCUGCAGGGCCACCGGAUUCGCAGCCUGAGAGAUUCCCCGGUCCGGACCAAGGCGGCGAGGGUCGACGCGUCCAGCGCGAGGAAGAAGGCUCUGACCACGCCCCGGAGCAAGACCGUGCGGCCAAGGCAGGAGCCGUUCCUCAGCGUGAAGCACCAGAAGAAGCCGGUUGCGACGGACGCGGCGGAGAUGAGGGGGACCGUGGUGAAGGCGCUGUUCAUGAGCACGCCCAAGAAGGAGACGCCGGCGAAGAUCCAGGCUCCUCCCGUGGCCGAGGUCUGCUCCAAGAUGAAGAAGCUCAACCUGGCGUGCCGGGAGGUGCCUAGCAGGUACCUGUCGCAGCUGCCCACGCUGAAGAUCGCCAAGAAGUGCGAGGAGACGGCGGCGGUGAAGAGAGUGCAGGAGCCAAGGAGCGGGAAAAAGAUGAUCCUAGGCUGUUCGGCGAAAUGCGCCAACGCCGAAAUAAAUGAAGGGAGCCGAAGUGGCCGUGAGAACAUCAACGCGGAUGAGAACUCGUGUAAACGAACUGCAAGGCGCAAUUGGGGGCAAGAACCCAAGGAGGUGCUGCAGGGACCACGGGUUGAGGUGGCGGAACCAUUGCGGCCCGACAUUCAUGGCGACGACAAGGAGAAUGCGCCGUGCGGUGAUCAGCUCGCCGAGCAAGCCUUGAGUCGGGAAGAAGAAGAUGAAAACAGCAAGCGGUCUGAGAACAGCGAGAAUGCUCCUCAAAAGGUGCUUAAAAGGCAGAACAAGGUAGUGAAUGCGGAGCAGGGAGGAAAGCUUAAGAAGAAUACCAUCCUGAGGCCAUUCAGGCUAAGGACUGAUGAGAGACAGGUAUUGAAAGAUGCAAAUCCAGAAAGAAAACCGACGGCGGCCGAGAAGAACGCCAUGCCAGCACUGAAGGAUGAAAAUAGGCGAUUGGUGCAAACUGGAAGAUGCACUGAUGGAAAGGAAAGAGAAAAACUGACUUGUGGCGAGAAGCAGAGGAAACAAAUUACACACACUGCCACGAAUCGGCUUGGUGAAUCCAAAACGGUUUUGUGUAACAUCCGGCCCAACAAUGUGAGGCCUGCGCUGACUAAAGGAAAAACCAUAGAGAAAUCACAGAGGGCAGCAGCAUCAACGAGAACAGCCAAAAUAACAAGUGGUCUCACAGCACCGUCUCGAAUUGGAGAAAAGAGGAAGGCCUCGGUGAAAACAUCCAGGCUUCAGGAAGCAGCAGCUUGA
rnacentral:rRNA from 1 species